CCUAAUGCUGGCUGAAUGGAAAAAAGUUCAGUUUAGGGUUUAAAACCCUAAUGCUGACUGAAAGGAAAAUUCAGUUUAGGGUUUAAAACCCUAAUGCUGAUUGCAUGGAAAAGCUCAGUUUAGGGUUUAAAACCCUAAUGCUGGCUGAAUGGGAAAAGUUCAGUUUAGGGUUUAAAACCCUAAUGCUGGCUGAAUGGAAAAAGUUCAGUUUAGGGUUUUGAAACCCUAAUGCUGACUAAAGUAAAAAAAAUCAAUUUAGGGUUUAAAACCCUAAUGCUGAUUGCAUGAAAAAGCUCAGUUUAGGGUUUAAAACCCUAAUGCUGGCUAAAAGGAAAAUUCAGUUUAGGGUUUAAAACCCUAAUGCUGAUUGCAUGGAAAAGCUCAGUUUAGGGUUUAAAACCCUAAUGCUGGCUGCAUGGAAAAGCUCAGUUUAGGGUUUAAAACCCUAAUGUUGGCUGAAUGGAAAAAGUUCAGUUUAGGGUUUAAAACCCUAAUGCUGACUAAAGUGAAAAAAUUCAGUUUAGGGUUUAAAACCCUAAUGCUGAUUAAAGGAGAAAGCUCAGUUUAGGGUUUAAAACCCUAAUGCUGAUGGCUGGGGACAAAAUUCGAGAACAACCACUGACUUUUUUUUUUUUUGAAUUUUCUUAUUUUAGUAAAAGAACAAAAGGGAGUUUUGCGGGAACUUACCUUUUGAGUGAAUUCCUUAUUGCCAAA
rnacentral:lncRNA from 1 species